CUGGCCCCCUGUGUAAAAAGUUUGGGGACGCCUGUCCUAGAGAAACAAAGUGGAGAAUGGGUAAAAGUUGAAUGGAAAAAAACAAAACAAAACAGGAGUAGCUAAAAAUGAUAGAACUUUAAGUCACUACAGGAAGCUAGUGGCAAUUGAUGUUAGUGUGGCUCUGUAUGUUUCAAGUGUGGGUCACUAGCCUAAAGAUUUAAUUAAAAAAUAGGUAACUUAAUUUUAAAAAAGGAAUUGAAGAAUAUUCUGGAUUGGGGCAAGAGGAGAAUCAGCUGAGAGGCCUCUGGAAUGCUUAAGAAAGAAAACAGAUAAGUAGAAUAGGAUGGCUUGGCAAAUAGUAUUUCUGUAACAUGCCAGGAUUUGAUGGUGAGGAGCAAAGGGAGAGGGAAUUGAAGGGAAUUUAAAAACUAAUGUAGGAGCAGAAGGGUUGGAAAGGGAAAACAAUGGCGGCUGCGGUGUGGUUGGUGCUGAGAUGGCGACCUUAGUGCUGGAUAACGGAGCUUACAACACCAGAAUUGGUUACAGCCAUGAAAAUGUGUUGGUUAUUCCUAAUUGUCAGUUCUGGUCAAAAACAGUAUGCCUUAAAACUGUUACUGCGAACCAGACAGAUGAAAUUAAAGAUCCUUUUUGGACUCUUCUACAUCCUUCCUUUUCGAAAGGGCCUCUUGGUGAAUUGGGAUAUUCAAAGACAAGUUUGAGAUUACCUUUUUGGAAAAGAAAUGUAUCAGGUAACAAAUUAGAGUUGAUUUUUUAGAUACUAAUAUUAUCACUGAACCAUACUUCAAGAAUCAAUGAACGGAAUUCUAUUUGAAGAAUACCAGUUCCAAGCAGUAUUAAAAGUAGGUGCUGGGUCUCUCAGUGCACAUAGAUAUUUCCGAGGUAAUCCUUAUGAAUUAUGCUGUAUCAUUGUUGAUAAUGGAUAUUGCUUUACACAUAUAGUUCCUUAUUGUAGAAGCAAAAAGAAAAAAGCAGUUAUUCGUAGCUACGUGGUAUGGAUGAAACACGUGAUUAAUCAAGUGAAAGAAGAUGUAUAUUAUGUGUCAGGAUUUUUGAUAGAGACAUGGAUAUUGCAAAGUUGAAAGGAGAAGAAAACACAGAAAUGAUAGACUCUGUCUUGCCUGACUUCCGUACAAUUAAAAAGGGCUUUUGUGAGCCAAGGGAAGAGAUGGUAUUGAGUGGAAAAUAUAAAUUUGGGAAACAAAUUCUUCAUCUGGCCAAUGAGAGAUUUGCUGUUCCAGAAAUACUCUUUAAUCCUUCUGAUACAGGCAUUCAAGAAAUGGGAAUUCCAGAAGGUAAUGUCUAUUCAAUUCAGAAUCUACCUGAAGAAAUGCAGCUGAAUUUUUUUAAGAACAUUGUCUUGACAGGAGGAAACUUCCUUUUCCCAGGAUUUAGGUAUUGGGUUUACUCAGAAGUUUGAUGUCUUACUCUAACAGAUUAUGAUGUUUCUAUUCUGCCUGAAAACCCUAUUACUUGUGUCUGGGAAGGUGGAAAAUUGAUAUCAGAGAAUGAUGAUUUUGAAGGUACGGUGGUAAUGAGAAGAUUAUGAAGAAAGUGGAUAUAGCAUCUCUGAAGAGAAAUUUGAUAUUUAAGCAACAUUUUUGAAUGAAAAUCUUGACUAGUUGUGACCGUAAGGUUUAAUUUUGAAAAGAGUCUUUGAAAAGAGGUUAAGGAACUGUGUUACCUUUCAUCCUAAGAAAAAGCCUAGAAUUUAUGUAAAUACUUUGAUCCAUUGCUAAUUUUCAAAGGCUUCCUAAGUUAUUACAGUAAACUGUAACUCAGUCCACAUUUUCAUUUAGGAGCUAGACUGCUAUAACAGUGCUUAUGCUGUUUCCAAGGAUAUGUAUUAUUUUUCAUUAAAAGCAGAAAGGAUGAAUUCAUUUUAAUUCUUCAGAGCUGAAAGCACAAAUUUAACUGCCUCACUGGUAUUUCCUUAGAAGGUAGUUUUGUGUGAUUGUGACUGAAGUAUUUAAAAAUUGUCAUCCUUAUUUAUACAUUCUAAAGUUGGAAAGACUGAUCUUACACGUAUGUAAUGUUUAUUUUGUACCUAGAGCACAUUUAAAAGAGUGGAGACUAAAGCUAAUAAAGUUUUCUUGG